rnacentral:snoRNA from 1 species
CUCCUUUUCUGGUUCCUGAGCACAAUGAUUGUGUAUUUUCACGCAUUUGUGUGACAUGUGUCUCCCAUAAACCUUGUUACAACUUCGGCACAUUACCCAUAUAACA